rnacentral:lncRNA from 1 species
AAACAGUCAAACAAUGGUACGGGGUACUUAUACUUUGAAGCUUAUUGAGGAAACUCAUCAAACAUUAGUGAGUUCAAACUCUCAGCGCUACACACAUGACACAUAUAACCCUUCGUACGGAAAUUUAUUUAGACAGUUAAUGUUCAUUUCAUGUUGAAAAAAAGUAAAAUAAAAUGCCACGCUCAACGGAGUGGAUAAAUCUAACCAGAGCAAAAAAAGUUAUCUUUGUUUUGACAAUAGUAGCACUUUUUUUGCUUGUCCUUGGAUUUUCAACGCCAUUUUGGAUUUUGAUAUCAGUUGAUUUUAACUACGGUGACCGUGAUUACAGAGAUGUUUACUUUUUGUUUGAACUACACGAGAAAGAAUUUGUUGGUCUCUGGCAGUGUUGCGUUAAACAAUAUGGAUGUUUUGAUUUAUCAUUGUUGGCGAAAUAUUUUUCAACACAUUUCAAAUCUGAUGGUAGAGUAGAUAUGCGAAUAUACAAGACGAACAGAAUUAUAAGUAUGUUAACAUAUUAAUGGAUAUUAUUUUAUAUUUUGUAUCAAUUAUUGUUUGGUUUUUGUUAUACUUUAGACAUUAUAUAAUAUUAAGUUUGUGUCUAGAGGUCGGCCGCGAUAUGUUUUUUUUUCUCUCUUUUCCUCAUUAUAGCAAUUUUUAAUUGAGGAAUAAUGAAUAAACUAGAUAAAAUGUUGAUUUAGGUAUGAAUAAAAUGAUCCACACUUUAGAUUUAGAUACUGACGAUAAAUGCCAAACCAGACACAUUAUUCUGAAUCCGAUCCAAACAGUCUUUGCUUUUUCUCCUAAAUGCUGCGAAAUUAUCGGGACAAAACAGCCGAGUAUUACCCUUUUAUAGUUAAGAACAAUACGAUUCAACCUGGUUAAGGUCGAUCUUUCGACGUCACACACUCAAAGAAGUACCUUACAAAGAGACAAUCAGAGAUGUUGAAAUCCAACUUCUUAAGAUGAGGAAAUUAUUGAAUUGUUGUUACUUGCAAUAAUAACAUCAAGUUUUACAAAGUUUUAGUUGUAAACUAUGUCAUUUCGUCAUUGUCGGGAAGUUGACUCAUUGACAAUCAUACCACUUCUUACUUAUGUAACAUGUAUAACAGAAAUUAAAAUAUGUAAAUGUUUAUAAUACAGAAAGGUACGUGAUAAGUGCCAUACACAAUAAAAAUGUACUGUUCUUUUGAAAUGUGGGAAUGUAAUAAAUCAUACCUUUUACAUUUUCAAGUUUGAUGUUUUAUUCAAUUCAGAAGCCGCAAACAAAAGCACCAAACGUAUGCGAAUAAACAAAUACAUUCAACAAUUAAAAUUAUCUACAGUUGUAGGGAAAUAUGUGUGUUAAUUGGACAAACAAUAACUAGGCUGGGCAUCCGUGGGCUAGAAACCGGCAUCCAUAACGUUAGAAUCAGACGGUUAAAGAAUAUAAAACAAAGAAGUUAAAACAACUCCGACGUGUUUCAUUCGAUUUUAAAUUCUCUCCACAGUCGAAAUGGUAAUUCCGUUCAAUCUAUCAUUUGCAUAUGCCUUAAAACAAUGUCAACGUGUCAAUGUAGAACAAUUUAAAAUAUCAGAAUCCGGUUUACUCGGAAUAGAGUUAACCUUUUUAAUCUUUUUUUUUUAGAUUUGUGGACAGGUUCAAGAUCGUUUUCAACUUCAACGCAGAAUUAUUAAAUUCAUUAUAAUCAGGUUCACACGGAAUCAACUUUAACUUUUUUUAAAUAUUUUUAGAUUUAGGGAUAGUUUCAAGAUCAUGUGCAACUGUAGCCG